AUAUUUCGGAACUGAAUCUAGUUCCUUCGACAUCAAUGCAAUCUACACAGAAAAUUCAUGAUUUUCUGUGUAGAUUGCAUUGAUGUCGAAGGAAAAUUCAUGAUUAUUAUAGAUUGCAUUGAUGUCCAAGGAACUAGAUUCAGUUCCGAAAUAU